UACGUAGGGUGCGAGGCGUUGUCCGGAAUUAUUGGGCGUAAAAGGAGCUCGUAGGCGGUUUGUCGCGUCUGCUGUGAAAACUCGGGGCUUAACCCCGGGCCUGCAGUGGGUACGGGCAGACUAGAGUGCGGUAGGGGAGACUGGAAUUCCUGGUGUAGCGGUGAAAUGCGCAGAUAUCAGGAGGAACACCGGUGGCGAAGGCGGGUCUCUGGGCCGUAACUGACGCUGAGGAGCGAAAGCGUGGGGGAGCAAACAGG
rnacentral:rRNA from 1 species